AACAUCGCGCACCUGCGGGAACCUGCGGAGGGAUCAUUACCAAACAAAAUAGUUCGGGCUGCGCCUUGCAACAACCGUCAGGCCAGGAGCCCAGCUCCUGGAGGCGCGGCUGCCGGCAUCCUCUGUCUAUGAGUACCGUUUGUUCCCUCGGCGGGCGCAUACCCUGCCGAUGGGCCACCUGAAAACCCUUUUUGACUGAAGCACUAUACCUCUGAUCGUGGGCUUGAAUCGUUUACAACU
rnacentral:misc_RNA from 1 species